rnacentral:misc_RNA from 1 species
UUAAGUUCAGCGGGUAGCACUACCUGAUCCGAGGUCAACCUUGGGUAAAUAAGGCUUUUAACGGCCGGAACCCGCAGCACUCCCAGAGCGAGAUGUAUUACUACGCUCGGGGUGACAGCGAGCCCGCCACUGGUUUCAGGGCCUGCGGCAGCCGCAGGUCCCCAACACAAGCCGGGGGCUUGAUGGUUGAAAUGACGCUC